GGGCUCCGGUCGCGCGCAGCGGCGGUCUCCCGAGUUGUGUCCCUCAGCCGCGGUCGCCGUCGCUCUCGACGCGGUCGUCCCCGCCGAGCCGCGGGCGCCGCCGCAGGGAGGGAGCGGCGCUGCGGCCGCCGCCGUCCGAGGACGCCCCGUCUUCCGGGGCCCGGCACGGUGGCUGCCGGCCCGCCGAGCGCAGCCCGCUGGGGAGGAAGGCGGCGGCUCGCGUCGUGCGGGCCGCCGGAGCCGGGAGGAGACCAUGUCCGGGAGUCACCCUCAGCUCUCCACGACCGAUCGCGUCAUCAAAGCUGUCCCCUUUCCUCCAACCCAACGGCUAACUUUGAAGGAAGUAUUUGAGAAUGGGAAACCUAAAAUGGAUGUUUUGAAAAACCAUUUGGUCAAAGAAGGCCGGGUGGAAGAGGAGGUGGCCUUAAAGAUCAUCAAUGACGGGGCUGCCAUCCUAAGGCAGGAGAAGACUAUGCUGGAAGUGGACGCUCCAAUCACAGUGUGUGGUGAUAUUCAUGGACAAUUCUUUGACCUGAUGAAGUUGUUUGAAGUUGGGGGAUCACCUAGUAAUACUCGAUACCUCUUUCUGGGUGACUAUGUGGACAGAGGCUAUUUCAGUAUAGAGUGUGUGCUGUAUUUAUGGAGUUUAAAGAUUAACCAUCCUAAAACAUUGUUUCUGCUUCGAGGAAAUCAUGAAUGCAGGCAUCUUACAGAGUACUUCACCUUCAAACAGGAAUGCCGGAUUAAGUAUUCGGAACUGGUGUAUGAAGCAUGUAUGAACACAUUCGACUGUCUUCCUCUCGCUGCUCUCCUAAACCAGCAGUUUCUCUGUGUACACGGAGGAAUGUCACCUGAAAUUACUUGUUUAGAUGACAUAAGGAAAUUAGAUAGGUUUGCCGAACCCCCUGCUUUUGGGCCAGUGUGUGACCUGCUCUGGUCUGAUCCCUUAGAGGAGUAUGGCAGUGAGAAGACUCUGGAGCACUAUACCCACAACACUGUCCGCGGCUGCUCCUACUUCUUCAGUUACCCUGCGGUUUGUGAAUUUUUACAGAACAACAAUUUAUUAUCAAUAAUCAGAGCCCAUGAAGCCCAGGAUGCUGGGUACCGAAUGUAUAGGAAGAGCCAAGCAACGGGCUUUCCAUCACUCAUUACAAUUUUCUCUGCCCCUAAUUACCUCGAUGUUUAUAACAAUAAAGCUGCAGUGUUGAAAUAUGAAAACAAUGUUAUGAACAUCAGGCAGUUUAACUGCUCUCCACACCCCUACUGGCUCCCAAAUUUCAUGGAUGUUUUCACGUGGUCUUUGCCUUUCGUUGGAGAAAAAGUCACAGAGAUGUUGGUCAAUAUUCUCAACAUAUGCUCUGAUGAUGAGCUGAUGUCAGACGAUGAAGCGGAAGGAGGCACUUCAGUUCGAAAAGAGAUCAUCAGGAAUAAAGUCAGAGCCAUUGGGAAAAUGGCACGGGUCUUUUCGGUUCUUCGGGAGGAGAGUGAGAGUGUGCUAACCCUCAAGGGCCUCACUCCCACAGGCACACUCCCCUUGGGGGUCCUCUCUGGAGGACGGCAGACCAUUGAGACUGCCACAGUACAAGCAGCAGAGGCACGGGAAGCCAUCAAAGGGUAUCCACACAAGAUCCAAAGUUUUGAAGAAGCCCGAGGUCUAGACAGAAUUAAUGAGCGAAUGCCACCCCGAAAAGAGGGUGGGCAUCCUGACGGGCCGGUGAAGAUGGUCCACUCGCAUGCUGCACGAAGGGGCGACCACGGAAAGAAAGCCCUGUAAUGACUCAGAGCCCCGUGCAGCACAGAUGAGUCCCAACCAUGCAAUCAAAUGGUAUUUAUUUAUUAGUGGAAAUGGAACAGAAACAACUCAAACAACUUAACUUGGAGGUGCAUCUGUAAUUCAGUCGCAUUUAUUCUGUAAGAAAGAAAACCUCGUUGUCAGUGGCUAAAACUGCUUCUGUUCUGGGGGAAACUUGAACUUCCAAGAGAACAACUUAAUCCUAGUGAUUUUAAGAUCCAGGUGGGACUGGCUCCCACAGUAAUUUAUCUUUGACUCUUCAGUUCCAUGAUUGUGGGGUUGUUUGUUUGUUUGUUUGUUUGCGAUACAUGGGAUUGAACCCAUGCCUCACACAUGCUAUGGAGGUACUCUGCCACUCAGCUACACCUCCAUUCAUCGAUACAUUUUCAUGUGUUCUAAUAAAGUUCCUCCUAAAAAAGAAA